UACAGAGGGUGCAAGCGUUAAUCGGAGUUACUGGGCGUAAAGGGCACGUAGGCGGUUGAUUAAGUCAGUUGUGAAAUCCCCGGGCUUAACCUGGGAACUGCAGCUGAUACUGGUUAACUAGAGUCGAAUAGAGGGAAGCGGAAUUUCCGGUGUAGCGGUGAAAUGCGUAGAUAUCGGAAGGAACAUCUGUGGCGAAGGCGGCUUCCUGGAUUCAGACUGACGCUGAGGCUCGAAGGCCAGGGUAGCGAAAGGG
rnacentral:rRNA from 1 species